ensembl:lncRNA
CUCAGCUGUCUUUAUACCUGUCUCCGCGUGGGUAAAAGGAGAUGCUUUCAUUGAUGGCUAUUACGGAAACGCUUGGGAACUGAAGAUCAGCCCCGAGGACUCGCUGUGCUUUUCUCCCUGCCACCCCCUUCCCCUCCCUCCUGCCAGAAACCAUCUGACUUCCAAACUUGGCUGUCUGAAAAAGAAUGUUCUCUGAUUGGCAUUCCUGGAAGCAGAAAGCAAGGCAGCUCGAGUUGUAUUCUGUUACUCAGCGUGAAAAACUUCCCAGGAAGAAAUGGUCAUGCUGCCUCUAAUAUUCUGCACGGCAACUAUGAGGUCUGUGGAUUUUCUGUGAGAAAAAACCUUGCUCAUAGGAAACGUGAAAACAAACAAACAAACUGCUUUCAGCUGUCCUAUAUUUUGUAUUGCAGACAGCAGAAGAGGGUGCAAGAAAUGUUUCUAUCUCCGCGUCAAGUCUUCUUGUCCAAAACUGUCUUGUAAACUUUGAUGAGGACUGGGGGAAAAAAAAAAAGUUUGUGUGUGUGUGUGUGUGUGUGUGUGUGGCCAUGUACAAUACAACCCCACACCCCAUAGUCACACACACAUGUCUGAACAAAGGAAAACCGAGUGAAUGGAAAUGAAGGGAAAAACACAUUUUCUCACACAGGAACUGACAAGAAUUAAUAUUGUGGAGUUCCCUUCAAAUCAUGACUCCUAAAAUUGUGUUUCAUAUUUAUUUUGUGGUCACUGGGGUCAAAAGAUCUGCUGUGCUGAAGACAUGUUACCUCACCGUGUUCUCAACAGCGAGUGUAUUACAUGCCACGUUAUGGACCAGACCGACUUCUUGAAAGGCUUGAUAGAGGAUUUAUGUUAAUAAUUGCAGCAAUCAGACAAACCACAACCCCGGCGUCUUGGGGUUUCCAGAUCUCAUCUGGCUGUCACUGCCAACUCUAGGCAACCGUCAGCUGGCUGGGCUCAGGGUGGUGGUGUGGCUGCAGCUGCUCCCUGCAACUUGUGCAGAAGUCUCGAAAAUACCUAACGGCAGGAGGUUGACUCCAAAGAGAAAGCUUUCUCUUUGUUUGUGGUUGGUUUUAAAUGUUCUGUUCUAGGUGAUCUUGUACCACAUCUGAAGAAGCCCAUUUUAGGGAACCUGAUGAACUGGCAUCAUAUUACUAAUUUAUUUCUUUGAUAUUCUCAUGCCCCAUCUAGGUUGGCAUGCUACCAACCUGCUCACUCCUUAUUCCAUUACUAGAUGUCCUUUAGAAAAAAAGAUUAAAAGAAGGAGGGAGAGGAGGAAGAAACUUUCCUUAUGCUUAUUCCCAAGCUGAUUAACUAAGAGACAUUUCAGGCUCUGUGUACUGUUGAUAGAUAAGGGCAUCUGAAUGACUUCAGAAAUAAAUAGAAAUAACCAGUCACCCAGAGAGCACACAUCUCUGUCUUUGUGAUUCUUCUUUCCUCUAUCAAAAG